rnacentral:tRNA from 2 species
GCGGGCAUAGCUCAGUUGGUAGAGCGCGAGCUUCCCAAGCUUGAGGUCGCGAGUUCGAGCCUCGUUGCCCGCUCCA